UCUAUAUAUGUUUUUUGUAAGAUUUCAUGAGAUCUGCAAGGAGAAAAAGUUUUAGUUCAAAAUGUUCAUUGUUAAGACAGCUACAAGCCAUGGAAGGGGGCUAAGCCGUGGGAAUUCUCAAAGUAGUCAUUCCUCCAUUUUUUAAAAAUUGGCUCUUCAGUUUAGAGAAAAACUUUAUACAUGUUUUCUGUAAGGUUCCAUGAGAUCUACAAGAAAAAAAAGUUUCAAUCCAAAAUGUUUAUUAUUAACAGAGCUACGAAUUUGUAAAGAUUGCACCGAUAAGAACUGGUAAUGUUCUUGAGUAAAUGAGGAUGAUGCAAUCGCGGUCAGGUGACGUGUUUGGAAAUCGCGUUGGCCAAUCGUCGUUUUGCCCAGUAAUCAUUACCUAGAAUCGAAUCGGUGGAUUUUAAGGUCACGGGGCCGCUGAAUUUAAUGGGAACACCGUUACGAUGUCCAAGGUUGGCGAAUUGUGGUGCACGCAUCACUUACAGGCAUGCAUUGAUAUAUUUCAUUGAAAUGUCUCCAAUGCUGUCAACAUGGUUUCUUUUUAUUAAAAAUGUAGCGAGUACUCUUAUGAUUGAAAAGAAUCACGUUACCUGAUGUUUUAUGAUAUUUUAAUUUUGAUGCCGAAUGAGUAAUUGGAUUUGCAUUAUGUUCAGCUUGAAUUGCAAAGUAUUCCUCAAAAUACUGUAAAAUUUUCUUUUUUAAAUCUCCACUAUGAAUAGAGUUAUAAUUUUGAUUCUUUUCCUCGGCAUUAAUAUCGUGCAAAAUAGAAAGAUUCUGUUAUAUAUUAUAUAUUAUAUCUGUAUAUAUGUAUGCAUCCGUUAACCAAUUAAUUGAUUAAUUGUGAACGCACGCGAAGAACACGAGAUAUCAACGGGCGAGGCGAAGAGACGUUCGCGAAGCAGAAUAGAGGGGAAGGAAAAGCGUUCGCCAUACUUUGGGCGUGGACUGUUGAACAUUAAGCUCUUUCAUUGGACGAGAGAUCGACCUGGUGCAACGACUUGCACGCGCCAGCCCAGUAAGCAUUUUUCCUCAAUUCCCAGUCAAUUAUCGCAUCAACUGGAGAGGCUGCACCGCGCAGGAACUUCGACGACCCCAACUGCAACCCUUUAGGAGCGCUUCUGCCCCUUUUUUUAUUAACUUAUUGUCGCAAGAAAUUUUUGGGAAAUAUCAUUGGUUAUCACGUAAGCUUAUAUUCUUCAAUCUAUUAGAUUGAUUCACAUUAUUUACAAAUACAAAGGAAUUGUUAAUACUUGUAUAAUGUAGAUAAAAGAGGUUACGUAGUGAAUACUAGGAAUGUGUUUGUAUUUUCGAGGAGAACAUUAGGCGAAUAGGUCCUUCUCACGAGGUGGCUGUUGAAAGCCGAGUCGCUCAAGUAAAUAAACAGAAGGAGUUUCCCAGGGAUCGAUCGAGACCGAUAUAAAUGCUUCCUACGUGAUGCGUGGAACGAUUCGGAGAAACGAACUGGCGAUACGUGCCUUUGAUUAUGUAAUACGAGACUGCGUGAUUUAGGCAGGACGCUGAUAACGACCACAGACUGUGUGGCUUACGUUUCUUCCGCUCCUUCAAAUUGCUCGAUGACCUACUAGUCAUUCAUUUUUAAAAUAUCGGAUUGUCGCUUUAGAGGAAAACUUUCUAUAUAUUUUUCGUAGGGUUGCAUGCGAUCUACGAGGAAAAAAAGUUUCAAUCAAUAAUAUUCUUUAUUAAGAGAAAUAUGAGUUCUGGAAGGAGGCCAACCCUUGCGAAUUCUCAAAUAAGCCAUUCCUCCAUUUU